UUGCAUUAGAAUUAGAAUCUAAUUACACUAAAAUUACUCCCUCUAACUCAUUAAUAACUAUU
rnacentral:tRNA from 1 species